rnacentral:rRNA from 1 species
GACGAACGCUGGCGGCGUGCCUAAUACAUGCAAGUUGAGCGAUGAAGAUUGGUGCUUGCACCAAUUUGAAGAGCAGCGAACGGGUGAGUAACGCGUGGGGAAUCUGCCUUUGAGCGGGGGACAACAUUUGGAAACGAAUGCUAAUACCGCAUAACAACUUUAAACAUAAGUUUUAAGUUUGAAAGAUGCAAUUGCAUCACUCAAAGAUGAUCCCGCGUUGUAUUAGCUAGUUGGUGAGGUCAAGGCUCACCAAGGCGAUGAUACAUAGCCGACCUGAGAGGGUGAUCGGCCACAUUGGGACUGAGACACGGCCCAAACUCCUACGGGAGGCAGCAGUAGGGAAUCUUCGGCAAUGGACGAAAGUCUGACCGAGCAACGCCGCGUGAGUGAAGAAGGGUUUCGGAUCGUAAAACUCUGUUGGUAGAGAAGAACGUUGGUGAGAGUGGAAAGCUCAUCAAGUGACGGUAACUACCCAGAAAGGGACGGCUAACUACGUG